GAAAUAUCUGUCAUAAAAUUUUAAAAAAUGCCUCCAAAAGUCUAAAAAAGGAAAAAACGGAAUAAACUUUGCAGAAGCAGAUGUGCAACCAAAUGUCAUUCUAAGAAAAUGAUGAAUAAAUGUGACAAGACAACCAAACUUAACAUAUCCUAACUAGUAACCAAUAUCCAGAAAAAUUACAGUUAGGAAUCAAAAAUAGUACCCAUUUUAAAAAAAAGAUGAACAAGAGAAUGUAAACCAAUUUCCUUAUAAAGCGACUUUAGCAAAAUCCUGAAAAAGACAUCAGAAGUUAGAACGAUGAAUUCAUGGACAAAUUUAACAAAAAUCAGUACGAGCAAAAGUAACACUUGUGGAGCAACAAAAGAUCUACUAGAUUACAUAACUAAAAAGAUACGUACCGUAACAUUUUUAACCCUCGGUAUGCGGCAGCGACAUCUCUGGAGACACGUUGAAGGUUAACGAAACUGCCCUCGCCGCUAGGAGGCCGGUAUAUUGGCGCCACAUUUAAAUAGUAGCAAAUAAAUAUAGUAAUAAUAAUAAUAAUAAUAAUGUAUAUUUAUUUAGCAAAAAAUGUGUUACAUAUAUAAAUAAAAUAUGAUCCUGCUAAAAAAAUACAUUAUACAAUUAAA